AAUGUUCAGCCUAACACAGAUUCCAACAAAGCAUUUUUUUUUCCCUUAAAAAGCUUCCAGGGGCCCUCAGGAUAAAGUUUCCAGCACAGUGUACGAAACUUUUCUUUUUCUUUCUUUUCUUUUGCUUUGUUUUGGCUACACUACAUGGCUUGUUGGAUAUUAGUUCUCUGACCAGGGAUCAAACCCUGCAGUGGAAGCUUGGAGUCCUAACCAAUGGACCGCUGGGGAAGUCCCUGUACAGCUUUUCAAGACCUGAUCCACCCAGCUUUCCAAAAGCAUCUCCUCCAUCUGCAAAUUUGCUCUGCCUAGGGGCAGUGUUGCCUGUGGAAAAGAAUGCUGUUAGAAGCAACCUUUGAUCAUUGGCUUUUUAUGGGCAUUUCUCAGGAAGCUCAUUCUCCAUGUGAGCCAAACCUUAAGGUCUUAGUUUUGGCCUGUGGGAUCUAGUUCCCCAACCAGGGAUGGAACCCGGGCCUCCUGCAUUGGGAACGCGGAGUCUCAGCCGCUGGACCGCCAGGGAAGCCCCAGAUAGGACAUCAGACUUCUCCAAGGAGUUCGAGAUAGGCUCAUCAUCACAGAUAAAGGCGAGGAACCUGCCCUUUA
rnacentral:lncRNA from 1 species